ACCAUGCUAUCCAUCAAGUUUCAGUACUGAACUCGAGUUUUCGUUAGCACCCCCAACCCAUAGUAGUAGUUUCCCUCCGGAAGGAAACACACUCUAAAAACCACAGCCUAGAUGAGCUUCUAGUUUCAUGGCAUCUGCAAUCUCCAAAAGUGAAGAAGACUUCAUUUUCCAAUCUAUAAAGACAACACUAGAACUAAUCCAGUCCAGCUGGUUAAAAGGGAAAAAGCUCAAGGCCAGAAAAUGUUCAAAGCUACCAUGACAGACAAACAGACAAAGGGAACUAACAGAAUUCAGACAAGCACAACUACAUAAAUGAGAGGCAGAGAGAGAAGUCUAUAAAGACAACACUAGUCUAUGAUCAAUCAA